rnacentral:lncRNA from 1 species
UUUAGUGCCAUACAAAAGUAUACCACCUGCUGCUCAUUCUUAACCUCAAUCUUUGUAAAGAGUAAUGAGUUUAUGCUGGAUAAGAAUAUGAAUUUACACUUUCUGCUCAUUUUUAACCUUGGUCUUUGUAAACAGUAAUGAAUUUAUGCUGGAUGAUGAUCUGGUGCAUUUUGGUUAGAGCUUAUAGAGAUAAUGUUUGACUCGCUACCCUUUAAUUUUCCCUAUGAUAUUAAUUUAUUGCUAUGGUUCCAUUUGAUAUGAUUGUCUUUGUGUGUGAACUAAAUUAUAUUCACUGAUAAAACAGUGCGCUUAUUUUGUUCUUGUGAUGAAUGCUAUUUUUAUUAGUGGAUGACUAUUGCUGCAAUGAGCCAUUUCUUCAUCACUGAAUUCAAAAUGUGUUCUUUCCUUAGUAAAAUGAUAUGGGAGGAAAGAGAUGUGAAAGACAGAGGUUCCAAAAUAUAAAUAUACUUAUUAUGAUGUUUAUUGCUUUCUCAAUUCAGCUGGAAUAUCCUCUGCGCUUUUUCAUCUGCAAGUAAUGUAGUUCAUGGAAAGGGAUUCUAGGGGAAGUUUGACCUCUCUUACUGUUUUUCCCUUUAGGAACUGUCGGCAAAGGUUUCAUUUUUUUUUUUGCUCACUUCUGACAGGAUUUGGACAUCUCUGAUGCGUCUGUAUUGUAUGACGUUGACGAACCUACUGUUCGGAGUCUUAAUGGCUGCCGAGUUGCAGAUCAAAUACUGAAGCUUGUUCCAAAUGUUGGGGUGAAAUUCUUCAUAUUGAGUUAUUCAGAUAUUUGACUGCUUUACUGGAUUCCAUGGGCCUUGUUAAACACUUUGCUUUAUUAUUUAUAUCUUGCAUGUCUUCAUUAGUCUUAACAGUUUCUAUGUACUGUAGCAUUUUCGCACAACGCUCAGAUGUUUAAAGUUUUGGGCUAAAAGACGCAGAGUUUAUUCUAAUGUGAGUACUUAUUGUCAUUCUUUUUUUGUGUGAAAUAUUUGGCAUCUCAGUUUUAUUAGAUUUUCUCCACUAUGUUUAGGUAACUGGAUUUCUUGGUGGCGUGAACUGGGCGCUUCUUGUGGCUCGAGUUUGCCAGCUUUACCCAAAUGCAAUUCCCAGUAUGCUUGUUUCCCGGUUUUUUAGGGUUUACACAAUGUGGCGCUGGCCUAACCCAGUUAUGCUAUGCGCAACUGAGGAGGCUGAACUUGGGUUUUCUGUUUGGGAUCCACGUAAAAAUCGUCAUGAUAAAACUCAUCACAUGCCAAUUAUCACACCAGCUUAUCCAUGCAUGAAUUCUAGCUAUAACGUAUCAACAAGCACCCUACGUGUUAUGAUGGAUCAGUUCCAAUAUGGGAACACAGUUUGUGAGGUAAGAAAAUUGAGAUUUUUGAUUUCUCAUGCUCUAUUUUUGGUUACUGAAUCUUAUGUCUCUUAUUGUAAAACCAGGAAGUGGAGCUGAAUAAAGCUCAGUGGAGUGCUCUAUUUAAGCCAUACUUGUUUUUUGAAAGCUACAGGAACUAUCUGCAGGUUGACAUAGUUGGAGCGGAUGCUGAUGACUUGCUUGCUUGGAAGGGUUGGGUAGAAUCUCGGUUAAGGCAACUCACUCUAAUAGUAAUAUUUCUGGUUAUUAGAUUUGUUUUAUGGAGAUUGUGAUUUAUGUUGAAAUAUGAGAAAUAAGCCUUUAAGUGUUUUAUACUUAAUCAUAUUUUUCAAUAUUUGCAGAUUGAGCAUGAUACGGACGGGAAGUUGCAAUGCCAUCCCUAUCCUCAUGAAUAUGUAGAUACCUCCAAGCCAUCUGCCCAUUGCGCCUUUUUUAUGGGUUUACAAAGGAAGCCGGGGGAGGUAGUUCAGGAAGGUCAUCAGUUUGAUAUACGUAGUUCGGUCAAUGAUUUUUUUAAGUUUUCAAUAAAUAUGUAUGUGUUUCGGAAGCCAGGGAUGGAAAUCUGUGUUUCUCAUGUUUGUGGAAAGCAGAUACCUUCUUAUGUUUUUCCAGAAGGUUAUAAACGGACUCCGCAUCCAAGAAUUGCAUCCCAGCAACAGUCUACUGAAAAUGGUAAUAAAUAUGAUAGGCCACCAAUUAAGUACACAUAUGCACGACGCAAGAAAAGAAGUACCUAGCUGCUAAUUACCUUAAUUUACAGGCAGUUUUGGGAACAUUGUUCGGGUAUGGAUAUGGUAAUCAAUAUCUGCCAUAAUGGUAAUGGAAUCUGGCUAAUUAUGGGUAGUAGUUAUUUAUGGUAUGGACGUUGAGAAUUAUUUGUAUUGAGCCUUGGCUCUAGGAGAGAACCAGGUCUCUCGAACUACUUGGAUGUUAGCUUGUUUCCUGUAAUUUCAAUAAAACACAUACCCCUUCCCUGUUAAAUUAUCUAUUUCCUUGACAACAAAAUCGAGGGUCUAUCAUUUGGUAUCAGAGUAGGCUCUGGGAAUAUGGUCACGAGGAUGGAAUCACGGAUGGAGUUCAUGGAAGAGGUGGUGACGUUGGUACAAGGGGAGUUAGGUGCAAUUAAACAGGAAUUGUGGAAAAUCUCUAACCUGGAGCAAGGAAUCGCUGCCUUGAUGGAGAAGCUCAAUCAGGUUGUUUAGACACAAGAGGAGGCGAAGCACGAGAGUGGCAAAUUACAAGUGUCAACAGCGGGCAUGACUCCUAAGCAGACCGACGGAGCAAUAGAUGGGAACUAUGGCAGAGAGAUGACGUUCAACGUUCGGUGGAUUUCCGGCCCAAACGAGUUGAAGUUUCCUCCUUUGCUGGAUAUUAAAGGCAGAGAGAUAUUUUGCCUUGCACCGGAUAACUAACACAGAGAAAUUGGAGACAAGCACUAUCAAUUUUGAAAGGGAAGCCCUGAUCUUGUUUGGAUGGGAGAACAAGAGAAGACCAUUCCUGAGUUGGGAGAAACUCAAAUCCCAACUCCUUUUGAGGUUUUGAUCUCUACCCAAUGGUUAUGAGGAAUUUUUGGCUCUUAGACGGCGGAUUUGUGAGGGAGUAUCGAAGAUGGUUUGAGCAAAUGGCUUCCACGUUAAAAGAUAUUUCUGAAUAGGUUUUGGAGUCUACAUUCAUAAAUGGGCUGAAGAGUGGCAUACUGGCUGAAUUAAAGGUAUUGGGUCCAAAUGGGCUUGAAAAAGCUAUGGAAUUGGCAAUGAAAAUUGAAGCUGAAAAUUUAGAGUCUAAAAGUUACACACGUGGGCCUGGGCAUUCUAAUUACUUAUCCACUAAAACUUAGAUGGGGCAAGGCAGUAUAGCAUUGGAGACUACAAUUCCAACAAAAGCUCACGAAGGUGGAGGAUUUUGAAAAUUAACAAAGGUAGAAUUGCAAUCCAAGCGAGAACGUGGCUUGUGUUAUAAAUGUGAGGAAAAUUUUUCACUAGGACAUUGUUGCAGGAAGCGAGAACUAUAAGUGGCUCUACUUCAAGAAUAUGAAGUAGAGGCACAAGCAGUGGAAGAUGUGGGUCAGGAAAGAGAAUUGGAGAUCAAGCCGAUGGAGGGGGCUGAAAAUCAAGUGGUGGAGGUGUCAUUAAAUUCGGUGGUGGGGCUCACUUCACCCAAAACGCUCAAAUUGGCGGGUGAGAUUAAUAAUCUGAAGGUAGUCGUACUUAUCGACAACGAUGCAUCACAUAAUUUUAUCUCAAACGAGCUUGUGUCAGUCUUAAAGCUUCCCAUCACUAAUAUGGAACCUUAUGGGGGUGAUUUCGGGAACUGGUUCAGCCACCAAAGCUCAAGGGAUCUGUCAAGGCGUAGGGUUAAUUUUACAAGGAGUGGAGAUAGUAGAAGAUUUUUUUACCUCUAGAUUUGGGUAGUACUGACAUUAUUAUGGGAAUUCAGUGGUUGGAGACUUUAGGAGUGACUCACAUUAAUCGGAAGACUCACUCUAUGAAAUUUAAUGUGGGAAAUACACCGAUAAAUUUACAAGGGGAUCUGUCACUACACAAAACAUUGGUAUUUUCUUCAUAAUCAUAAUUGAUUUUAUAAAGCAAUUCGUUUGAACUCAAUUAUUGAUGUAGGAUAUUUUCUUUUAGUUUCCUGUAGUUUGCACUUGUUGAUGACGGUUAUGAGUGAGAGUCUUGAUAAUGUUAGUCUUGAGUUGUGUGACUUGUGUAUUUCAAAAUUCGUUGUAUCGACAUUAUUUGGCCACUUAUCAUUUGCCAUUUGUCAAGUGCUUUUGCUAUAAGUAUUGUUGUGUCAUUAGCGAGAAAUAAAAAAAAAAGAUGUCAUUUAUAGAUUUUUUGUGUUUGUUAAAAAAAUUUAUAAUUAUUUACGAAUGAUGAAUUUCAUAACUUAUAAAAUUAUUUAAUUAUAGUUGUAUCAGUUAGGAUACAAAUUUAAAUUUAAAUUUUAAGAUGCCUAACAUUAUUCAUUUAAUAUGUUUUUAGAAAAAUCUAUCUAAAAAAAACUAAAAUGUAUGACUAUUUUUAAAAAAAAAAUUAAUGAUUUAUUUUAUGUAAAAUCAAGCGGCUGAGGAUCUUGUUUUAUCAAUAAUCAGGGAGGAUUUGGAAACUCUUAAAUAAUGAGAUUGAGUCUAAAGAAUAUGAAUCAGGUUGUUGAGGGGAGGGGAGUCUUCUUCUGCAAACGUUGACUGCAUCCCGAAACGGCGUCGAUGAAGCUUCUAAGAUAUCUCUCUUCCCUAAGGUGCCACGUGUAACUCGGCCGCUGAGAGCCAGCAGAAUAUCCAAUAAUGCGGCCGAAUCCCAAACAGAAAAGCGAAAAACAAUUUGCACAAACAAAAAGAGAAAAAACAAAAAAAGCAAAAAACAAAAGAAACAAAAAUUAAAUUAGAGAAACGCAUUAGAUAUUAUAAAAAAGCACCGCUGCCCCUAUUAAAAUAUCCAAAUUAGAAAGACCAUCCCAAUUCCCACACCCGCAGCCGUCCGUGUCUCUCUCUCUCUAAAACUCUCUUUCUCUCUCUAAAGCUCUCUCUUUUCUUUAUUUUCUUUUUUCUUUCAAAUAUUUAAUUUUUUUGGGGUUCCAUCGCAAUUAGAUCUGAAAUCAUUGACUUAAAUUCUCGUGUAGGAUUUUUUGAAUUUUCUUGCGUUUAUUCUGGGAUUUGCGUGAUUGGGUUGUUCGAUUUCAUCUAUUAUUUUUGUUAAAAAAAAAAAAGAAAAACAAACGGAAAAAAAAUUUCAAAUUAGGGUUCUCUUUCGCGGGGGGAUUUCACUGUUUUGAUGUCGAGUUCGGAGAGAAUGAGUUCGCCUCCGCCGCCUAAGCAGUACGGAGUGACGAAGCCAAUAUCAAUGGCGGGACCCACGGAGGCUGAUAUGCAAAGAAACCGUGAAUUAGAAAAGGUUUUGUUUUAUCUUUGGUUAUAAUUACUUUUUUUUUUCCUCUUUCUAUCGGAAACCCUAAUUUCGGUUUCUUUUGGUGUUGAAGUUUUUGGUUGAAGCUGGGCUUUAUGAAAGCAAAGAAGAAGAUGCGAAGAGAGAACAGGUUCUGGGUCGAAUGAGACAGGCAAGAAUUUUUUUUUAAAAAAAUUAUUAGUAAUUUUAAACCCGGGGAUGGCCAUGUUGUGAUAUUUUUGCGAUCAGUUGGUUUAUUCUUCAUUUUGUAAUUUGGCUAUGAAUUGAGCUUGUUUGAGUUGUAUUGGUGAUCUUAGAGAUUUUAUUUUGUUAGAGAAUUUAGUGAUGAACUAGAAAAUUAGAAGAAUUGAUUCAAGGUGGCAAUGAUAAUUGGCUUUCAUUAUUUUAGUUUAAGAGUCGUAGUGCUAGUCACAGGCAAGUAUAGCAUUCCUCUGGGUUAUUUAAUUUCAAAUCUAGAUUGUCAUUUAGCCUUUAUGUGCAGAUAAUUCAUUAUGUUUUGGGAACUUUUUGGCCUUUUAGGACAUGAUAUGUAGAUUUGGGGAACUUCUUUUUUCCCCUGCUUGGUGGCAGAGUUCUCUGAUUCUUAUUUUGUUUCCAUACAGUGAUUUUAUGUUUUUAUCCAAUAGUGCCAGUAGAUGGUAUGUAUGAGGUGAAAAUUUAGUAUGUCUGGUUGAAUUCUUUUUGAAUCUUUUUUGCAGAUCAUUUCAUUUUCAUUUUUCUGACACCAUACUUUGGCAUGCGAUUGCAAGUUUCUAAUCUAUUCGUCUUCUUACUGGGUUAGCUGUAUUAUAUUUCCUUUCCUUGUGCUGAAAAUAUCUUAUUCUUCAUGCUGUCAGAUUGCUAAAGAUUGGGUGAAGGAACUGACUCGGUUGAGGGGAUACUCUGAUCAAAUGGUGGAGGAUGCUAAUGCUCUAAUCUUUACUUUUGGAUCUUACCGGCUUGGUGUAUGUUUUCUUUGUUGCUACUCUGUGGUCCAGCAACAUCUUGUUUUGGGGAGAAACACUUUUUCACCUUCUUAUGCUUGCUAUCUUGUUACUUUUUAACUUGUUUUGUUUUACUUCCAGUUUUUCAUAUUUUGGCCUAUUGAUUCCUUGCUAAUCUUUGACUAUUUGAAGAUAUAUCUUAUUCUUGAUUUUGAUAGGUACAUGGCCCUGGUGCUGACAUAGAUGCAUUAUGUGUUGGACCGUCCUAUGUUAGUCGGGAGGUAAACAUUGAAUUUAUGAUAUACUUAGUCAAUAGGAUUCACCAAGCUGUUCACAAUUAGGUACUAAUGCUUAUGCUUCUAUACCAGGAGGACUUCUUUUUUAUUUUGCAUAACAUCCUGGCAGAAAUGGAAGAAGUUACAGAACUGCAGCCUGUUCUGGAUGCUCAUGUUCCUGUGAUGAAAUUUAAGUUUGAUGGACUUUCAAUUGAUCUUCUGUAUGCAAGUAUAUCUCGGUUGGUUGUUCCAGAAGUAAGUAUGAGCUCAAUUCUUUUUUUAUUUUUUAUUUUUUUAAUAUGAAACUCAAAAGUGUAUUAAUGGUGAAAAUCAAAAUAGGGAGUGCACCAGUUGUCUGCUAAGCAAUCAAAAAAGAUGAGCUUUUAGUGCCAUACAAAAGUAUACCACCUGCUGCUCAUUCUUAACCUCAAUCUUUGUAAAGAGUAAUGAGUUUAUGCUGGAUAAGAAUAUGAAUUUACACUUUCUGCUCAUUUUUAACCUUGGUCUUUGUAAACAGUAAUGAAUUUAUGCUGGAUGAUGAUCUGGUGCAUUUUGGUUAGAGCUUAUAGAGAUAAUGUUUGACUCGCUACCCUUUAAUUUUCCCUAUGAUAUUAAUUUAUUGCUAUGGUUCCAUUUGAUAUGAUUGUCUUUGUGUGUGAACUAAAUUAUAUUCACUGAUAAAACAGUGCGCUUAUUUUGUUCUUGUGAUGAAUGCUAUUU